GCUCUUGCGAGGAAGAAGCCUAUAGAUGCCAGCGUAGAUCUGAGUGAGAUUGGACAAAGGGGAACUUGUGAAAAUUUUAGUGGAGCUGAUCUUGCUGCACUGAUGAAUGAAGCUGCUAUGGCUGCUCUUGAAGAGAAACUGACAUCACCUGAGAGGAGUUCAGAUGCAUCUCCAUGGACUAUCAAAGACACUCACUUUGAGCAAGCAUUGGCUAAAAUUGCACCAUCUGUAACAGACAAGCAAAUGCAAUACUACCAGAAAUUUGGGGAGAGCCUCAAAGCACCAAGAAACAAAGCCUAAGCUACAAGCGCCCCAUUGAAGAGUGUACGUUGUAAAUGUCCGUAGAGCAAACAACAGAAGAAAGAAUGUGAGAGGGAAGCAGAUCCGUUGUCUUGUAUUUAUUUUUAUUAUUAUAUUGGUUUGGUGCCUCGUAAAUUUACUUGGCACUUCAAUUGGGAAAAUAAAUUUUGAUGAGUUUAAGGCCUGAGAUUCUACCGUGAAGAAUAUUAGAGCAGGGGUUUGCGGGAGUAGACGUUUUCUUUUGGCCUGAAGGUGGUGUAGACAUUAGUGCAUAUUGCACUGCCAAUUUUGAUAAAAUAUAGUUUGUCAAUUUAUAUUCAAAA